UCUACUCUGGUGGUCGAUAAAUACACCAUACUACUGCACUAGCUUCAUAUGUACACAGCUCAUAGACACCGGUUCCUAUAGACAAGUAAGUUUGUAUAGAUUGACUGAGUAAUCCAGCGUAGGUGAGCUCCAUCAUGGAUAUGACCAGUGACCAGAAGAAAUCAUGUUCUUUUGAGGAAACUCAGAAGAAAACAUGUUGGCCUGAGUUUGUAGGCCUGUCCAUCACACAGGCAGUCCCAAGCAUUCUAAAAGACAUGCCUAACGCCGAAAUUGAAGUGCUGGCUCUUGGCUCGCCUAUGACUCAUGACUUCCGCCCCAACCGUGUCCGCAUCUUCGUUGAUACCGUUGCUCAGACCCCGAUGGUUGGCUGAUACAGUUAGCCUCUACCUGCUGGAUCUACCAAAUAAAGAAGCCCCAUUUCAUUUACUAGUUAAUAAAUCCAGUCUUUCUUGGUUGUUCUUGAAGAUCAGGGAUCUAGAUAUACAACCCAUGUAUGGCUAUCCUUAAUAAUCUUGAUGGAAUAAUAAAUAAACAAUGAUUCAGGUGCAUGCAUA